rnacentral:misc_RNA from 1 species
UUUCCGUAGGUGAACCUGCGGAAGGAUCAUUAUCGUAAAACCGAGGUGCGAGGGCUGUCGCUGACCUUUUCGGUCGUGCACGCCCGAGCGCUCUCACACAAUCCAUCUCACCCCUUGUGCACCACCGUGUGGGUCCCUUUCUGGCUCGUCCGGAGGGGGGCUCGCGUUUUCACACAAACUUGAAGUAGUGUAGAAUGUCCUUUUUUUGCGAUAACACGCAAUCAAUACAACUCUCAACAACGGAUCUCUUGGCUCUC